UACGGGGGGGGCAAGCGUUGUUCGGAAUUACUGGGCGUAAAGGGCUUGUAGGUGGCCAACUAAGUCAGACGUGAAAUCCCUCAGCUUAACUGGGGAACUGCGUCUGAUACUGGAUGGCUUGAAUCCGGGAGAGGGAUGCAGAAUUCCAGGUGUAGCGGUGAAAUGCGUAGAUAUCUGGAGGAAUACCGGUGGCGAAGGCGGCAUCCUGGACCGGCAUUGACGCUGAGGAGCGAAAGCCAGGGGAGCAAACGGG
rnacentral:rRNA from 1 species